UACGUAGGGUGCAAGCGUUGUCCGGAUUCAUUGGGCGUAAAGAGCUCGUAGGCGGCUUGCUAAGUCAGGUGUGAAACCUCCAGGCUCAACCUGGAGCCGCCACCUGAUACUGGUAUGGCUCGAGUCCGGUAGGGGACCACGGAAUUCCUGGUGUAGCGGUGAAAUGCGUAGAUAUCAGGAGGAACACCGGUGGUGUAGACGGCUUUCUGGACCGUAACUGACGCUGAGACACGAAAGCGUGGGUAGCAAACAGG
rnacentral:rRNA from 1 species